rnacentral:tRNA from 1 species
CGCGGGGUAGCUCAGCGGCAGAGUACCGGGUCCAUCCCCCGGAGGUCGAGGGUUCGAGUCCCUCCCCCGCCU